AGAGUUUGAUCAUGGCUCAGGAUGAACGCUAGCGGCAGGCCUAACACAUGCAAGUCGAGGGGUAACAUAGAAAAGCUUGCUUUUCUGAUGACGACCGGCGCACGGGUGCGUAACGCGUAUACAACCUACCUUUUAGCGGGGAAUAGCCCAGGGAAACUUGGAUUAAUGCCCCAUAGUAUAUGGACUUCUCCUGAGGUUUAUAUUAAACAUUUAUGGCUAUUAGAUGGGUAUGCGUCCUAUUAGUUAGUUGGUAAGGUAACGGCUUACCAAGGCAGCGAUAGGUAGGGGUCCUGAGAGGGAGAUCCCCCACACUGGUACUGAGACACGGACCAGACUCCUACGGGAGGCAGCAGUGAGGAAUAUUGGACAAUGGGCGAGAGCCUGAUCCAGCCAUGCCGCGUGCAGGAAGACUGCCCUAUGGGUUGUAAACUGCUUUUACAGAGGAAGAACCACCCCCACGUGUGGGGGUUUGACGGUACUCUGCGAAUAAGGAUCGGCUAACUCCGUGCCAGCAGCCGCGGUAAUAC
rnacentral:rRNA from 1 species